rnacentral:lncRNA from 1 species
AUGGCAGACUCACCAUGGCCGUUUUCUGUUGGAAGCACCAGGAGCGUCGGGGGUGAGGGCUGGCCCAGCGUCCCCACCACUGGGCGAGGCACCCACCGCAGGGUUUCUUGGGGUCUGGGCUUGGGCAUCGCGGGAUACAACUCAGGAACAUCUUCCUGCGAGACUCUAUCCAGGUCAUCAGUUUUAGUUGGCCUACGGUUGUCUGGGCUGCUUGAGAUCCCCAGCCCGCUGUGCUGUGCCAGGUGCGAGGCUGCCCUGUCCUGGACCUGGGAGACAAGAGCAGAGAAUGGCAGCUCCAGGAGCAUCGGGGGUGAGGGCUGGCCCAGCGUCCCCACCACUGUGCGAGGCGCCCACAGCAGGGUUUCUUGGGGCCUGGGCUUCGGCAUCGCGGGAUACAACUCAGGAACAUCUUGCUACGAGACUCUAUCCAGACGCCGAAACCGCCAUAGCGCCUUUGUGUCUGCAGUGCCCACGCCUGGCACCUGUCCCCGGCCUGUGCCACCCCCGGACCACUGGUUCCUGGUUACAACUUGCGGUUUCAGUCUCAUCUGAGUUGAAGUCUUGGCCCAGACGUGUGCUGGCUGAGGUGUUGUUGGCAGGACAUUUUAGUAUCCGUCCAGGUGAGUGGUGUUUUAUUUGGGAAUAAAAGUGGGGUGUGAGCAUUGUGUUUUGUGGUU